rnacentral:ncRNA from 3 species
UUGGACUGAAGGGAGCUCC